rnacentral:rRNA from 1 species
GUAGGGGGCAAGCGUUAUCCGGAUUUACUGGGUGUAAAGGGAGCGUAGACGGUAAAGCAAGUCUGAAGUGAAAGCCCGGGGCUCAACCCCGGGACUGCUUUGGAAACUGUUUAACUAGAGUGCUGGAGAGGUAAGCGGAAUUCCUAGUGUAGCGGUGAAAUGCGUAGAUAUUAGGAGGAACACCAGUGGCGAAGGCGGCUUACUGGACAGUAACUGACGUUGAGGCUCGAAAGCGUGGGGAGCAAACAGGAUUAGAUACCCUGGUAGUCCGCGCCGUAAACGAUGAAUACUAGGUGUUGGGGGACAAAGUCCUUCGGUGCCGUCGCAAACGCAAUAAGUAUUCCACCUGGGGAGUACGUUCGCAAGAAUG